UAGGGAAUCUUCGGCAAUGGACGAGAGUCUGACCGAGCAACGCCGCGUGAGUGAAGAAGGUUUUCGGAUCGUAAAACUCUGUUGUUAGAGAAGAACAAGGACGUUAGUAACUGAACGUCCCCUGACGGUAUCUAACCAGAAAGCCACGGCUAACUACGUGCCAGCAGCCGCGGUAAUACGUAGGUGGCAAGCGUUGUCCGGAUUUAUUGGGCGUAAAGCGAGCGCAGGCGGUUUCUUAAGUCUGAUGUGAAAGCCCCCGGCUCAACCGUGGAGGGUCAUUGGAAUCUGGGAGACUCGAGUGCAGAAGAGGAGAGUGGAAUUCCAUGUGUAGCGGUGAAAUGCGUAGAUAUAUGGAGGAACACCAGUGGCGAAGGCGGCUCUCUGGUCUGUAACUGACGCUGAGGCUCGAAAGCGUGGGGGGCAAACAGG
rnacentral:rRNA from 1 species